AUACGGAGGAUCCGAGCGUUAUCCGGAUUUAUUGGGUUUAAAGGGUGCGCAGGCGGGACUGUAAGUCAGGGGUGAAAUACUGCAGCUUAACUGUAGCAUUGCCUUUGAAACUGCCGUUCUUGAGUACAGUUGAGGUAGGCGGAAUGUGGUGUGUAGCGGUGAAAUGCAUAGAUAUACCACAGAACGCCGAUUGCGAAGGCAGCUUACUAAGCUGUUACUGACGCUGAGGCACGAAAGCGUGGGGAUCAAACAGGAUUAGAUACCCUGGUAGUCCACGCUGUAAACGAUGAUUACUGGUUGUUAGCGAUAUAUAGCUAGUGACUGAGCGAAAGCAUUAAGUAAUCCACCUGGGGAGUACGUCGGCAACGAUGAAACUCAAAUGAAUUGACGGGG
rnacentral:rRNA from 1 species